GUCCACGCUGUAAACGAUGUGUGCUGGAUAUUGAAAGUUUCGACCCUUUCAGUGUCGUCAAAAAGCUAACGCGUUAAGCACACCGCCUGGGGAGUACGGUCGCAAGACUAAAACUCAAAGGAAUAGACGGGGACCCGCACAAGCGGUGGAACAUGUGGUUUAAUUCGACGGUAAACGAAGAACCUUACCAGGGCUUGAAAUGCUUUGAGUAUACCUGCCGAAAGGCAAGUGGACCGUUAAAUCGGAUCUUAGCACAGGUGCUGCAUGGUUGCCGU
rnacentral:rRNA from 1 species